rnacentral:tRNA from 2 species
GCGGGAAUAGCUCAGUUGGUAGAGCUCCAGCCUUCCAAGCUGGUUGUCGCGGGUUCGAGUCCCGUUUCCCGCUCCA